rnacentral:tRNA from 1 species
GGGCUGGGGCUCAGUGGCAGAGUACUCCCCUAACAUGCGUGAGGCACUGGGUUCAAUCCUCAGCACCACA